UACGAAGGGGGCUAGCGUUGCUCGGAAUCACUGGGCGUAAAGCGCACGUAGGCGGAUCUUUAAGUCAGGGGUGAAAUCCUGGAGCUCAACUCCAGAACUGCCUCUGAUACUGGGGAUCUUGAGUCCGGAAGAGGUAAGUGGAACUGCGAGUGUAGAGGUGAAAUUCGUAGAUAUUCGCAAGAACACCAGUGGCGAAGGCGGCUUCCUGGUCCAGCACCGACGUCAGGCACGAAAGCGUGGGGAGCAAACAGG
rnacentral:rRNA from 1 species